rnacentral:rRNA from 1 species
GCACAAGCGGUGGAGCAUGUGGUUUAAUUCGAAGCAACGCGAAGAAACCUUACCAAAUCUUGACAUCCUCUGACCACCCUGGAGACAGGGUUUCCCUUCGGGGCAGGGUGACAGGUGGUGCAUGGUUGUCGUCAGCUCGUGUCGUGAGAUGUUGGGUUAAGUCCCGCAACGAGCGCAACCCUUAUGACUAGUUGCCAGCAUUCAGUUGGGCACUCUAGUGAGACUGCCGGUGACAAACCGGAGGAAGGUGGGGAUGACGUCAAAUCAUCAUGCCCCUUAUGAUUUGGGCUACACACGUGCUACAAUGGACAGGUACAAAGGGCAGCGAGACCGCGAGGUUAAGCGAAUCCCAUAAAACUGUUCUCAGUUCGGAUUGGAGUCUGCAACUCGACUCCAUGAAGCUGGAAUCGCUAGUAAUCGUGGAUCAGAAUGCCACGGUGAAUACGUUCCCGGGC